AAAUGUAGUAGACUUUAAGUAUACAUGUGGAACUGGGGAGUAUACUAAGUACACUACGUUUAU
rfam:Oreochromis niloticus linkage group LG9, whole genome shotgun sequence.